rnacentral:rRNA from 1 species
AUUGAACGCUGGCGGCAUGCUUUACACAUGCAAGUCGAACGGUAACAGGCCGCAAGGUGCUGACGAGUGGCGAACGGGUGAGUAAUGCAUCGGAACGUGCCCAGUCGUGGGGGAUAACGCAGCGAAAGCUGCGCUAAUACCGCAUACGAUCUAUGGAUGAAAGCGGGGGACCGUAAGGCCUCGCGCGAUUGGAGCGGCCGAUGUCAGAUUAGGUAGUUGGUGGGGUAAAGGCUCACCAAGCCAACGAUCUGUAGCUGGCCUGAGAGGACGACCAGCGACACUGGGACUGAGACACGGCCCAGACUCCUACGGGAGGCAGCAGUGGGGAAUUUUGGACAAUGGGCGCAAGCCUGAUCCAGCAAUGCCGCGUGCAGGAAGAAGGCCUUCGGGUUGUAAACUGCUUUUGUACGGAACGAAACGGUUCUGGUUAAUACCUGGGGCUAAUGACGGUACCGUAAGAAUAAGCACCGGCUAACUACGUGCCAGCCGCCGCAGUAAUAC